AUUUUUGAUUGGUCAAUUCAUCAGAGGUUGUAGAACAUGACCCUCGGGCAAUCAGAGGUCAUUAUCAAAAUAAAAAUGGAUUUACGAAGUAGCGGCGAGCGUUAUCUUGAGCUGCUAAAACUAGAGGUAAUGUGUUUUGUGCCACCAUUUUAAUGUGUUUGUAGUAAUUAACAAUAUAUAAAUUCACAUGCAAGCCAAAGGGCAGGAUAACUGAUAGAAGGUUUCGUAAUUUGGGAGAGAAUUGUGGCUCAUUUCUGGACAUUGUCU